UACGUAGGGUGCGAGCGUUAAUCGGAAUUACUGGGCGUAAAGCGUGCGCAGGCGGUUUUGAAAGUCAGAUGUGAAAUCCCCGGGCUCAACCUGGGAACUGCGUUUGAAACUCCAAAGCUAGAGUAUGGGAGAGGGGGGUAGAAUUCCACGUGUAGCAGUGAAAUGCGUAGAGAUGUGGAGGAAUACCAAUGGCGAAGGCAGCCCCCUGGGCCGAUACUGACGCUCAUGCACGAAAGCGUGGGGAGCAAACAGG
rnacentral:rRNA from 1 species